rnacentral:ribozyme from 14 species
UACAAACAGCUGAUAUUUUUGUAUUUGUUUUUGUUGUUUUAUUCUCUUUUUCUUCUUUCUCUUUCAUUAAUACCUCUUCUUCUUCCUCAUCUUCCGAUGAUAAUCAUAAUAAUAAUGCCCAUGACAGUAAUCCAUGACUACAUACUAAAUCAGCGAUACGUUUUAUUGGCGGUUGUUUCGAGUUACUAUGAACAGUACUACUACUACGAGAAGAAAGAAAACAAUG